rnacentral:piRNA from 1 species
UGACAGGUGGCCACAUACUGCUGCAGGUGA